rnacentral:rRNA from 1 species
UUGGGAGCUCUCCCAUAUGGUCGACCUGCAGGCGGCCGCGAAUUCACUAGUGAUUCGUAUUACCGCGGCUGCUGGCACGGAGUUAGCCGGAGCUUAUUCUCCCGGUACUGUCAUUAUCAUCCCGGGUAAAAGAGCUUUACAACCCUAAGGCCUUCAUCACUCACGCGGCAUUGCUGGAUCAGGCUUUCGCCCAUUGUCCAAUAUUCCCCACUGCUGCCUCCCGUAGGAGUCUGGGCCGUGUCUCAGUCCCAGUGUGGCUGAUCAUCCUCUCAGACCAGCUAAGGAUCGUCGCCUUGGUGCGCCUUUACCACACCAACUAGCUAAUCCUACGCGGGCUCAUCCUCAGGCGAUAAAUCUUUGAUCUCGCGAUAUCAUCCGGUAUUAGCAGCAAUUUCUCGCUGUUAUUCCGAACCUGAGGGCAGAUUCCCACGCGUUACGCACCCGUGCGCCACUAAGGCCGAAGCCUUCGUUCGACUUGCAUGUGUUAGGCAUGCCGCCAGCGUUCAUUCUGAGCCAUGAUCAAACUCUAAUCGAAUUCCCGCGGCCGCCAUGGCGGCCGGGAGCAUGCGACGUC